AUGCCUAUUGGAGACACGAAGGGCCCGAAGCAAGCACAGUCUGCAAGGGGAAGACCCGCGGCGUCCCGAGGUCUGCACUUUGAGGAGGGAGGCAGGAGGUACGGAACAAGUACCCAGAAGAAAAAGGCCACGACUGAGAGCAAAGCGAAGUCUGACGGACGCGGGCGCGUUCCUAGUGCGGUAGCCAGCGACGCACCCAGGCCUCCUCCCGGGGGCAGGCCUUGGGGCAGCCUCGCUCGCGCUCCAGGCUCGAGGCCCGGGGGGCGGGGCACCGGCGGGGGCGGGGGCGACCCGACCCCGGCCCCCGGCGCCCGCCCGCCAGCUCCCGGCCUCCCGCUCCGCGUACGACCGCAGCGUGCAGUUCCGCGGAGAAACUGCAGUGGGGAGGCCCCUCUAAGGAAAGUUCCGGGACCCGCGGCGGGGCGGCCUUACCAGCGGAACCACCGGCCAGGAUCUGGCGAGAAGCCUCUCUCGCGAAGCCAGCAUUGGGCUGGGCGGACAUCUUCGAAAGCCCGGGGCGGCGGAGCGGAGCGGGCGAGCUCGCCGGCCUGCAAGAGCUGCUGCUGGUCCUGGCGCCGGCGGCUCCUGGGGAGGCGGCAGCCCGGCGGCCGCCCGGAGGUGGCGGCUCAGGGCGCAGGCUCACAGUGCGUGAUCUCCGGCGGGUGCGAACCUGCCCGCGGCUCCCCUUCAGGGCUUUCUGUCGCCGCCGCUAGGCCCCCUGGGCGCCAAGAAGGGCCUCGGCGGAGAAAGGCCUCGCGGACGGGGUCGGUCUGGCCGCCCGCGGUGGUAGGGUUUGGUCUCCCAGCUUGGCGCCCAAGCGCUUCCCUAUCGGGAGCCUCCUGCAGUUCGUCAGGCCCACGCGCCGCCGCUGAUAACGCUCUGAAGAGGCGCCCCUGGCCUCGCGGCGGCGCCGGGGCGACCCUUGCCCUCCUUGGCAGGCCAGCGCUCCGGGAGGCCCUAAAGAACGGACAGGUGGAUCCUGAAAUUGUGGGUUCUAGAAGCCAGGCCAAGUUACAAUUAUCUUUCAAUUAA
rnacentral:lncRNA from 1 species